rnacentral:rRNA from 1 species
AUUGAACGCUGGCGGCAUGCUUUACACAUGCAAGUCGAACGGUAGACCCUUUCGGGGGUUGAGAGUGGCGAACGGGUGAGUAAUGCAUCGGAACGUGCCUAGUCGUGGGGGAUAACGUAGCGAAAGUUACGCUAAUACCGCAUACGCACUGAGGUGGAAAGCGGGGGACCGUAAGGCCUCGCGCGAUUGGAGCGGCCGAUGUCGGAUUAGCUAGUUGGUGAGGUAAAGGCUCACCAAGGCGACGAUCCGUAGCGGGUCUGAGAGGAUGAUCCGCCACACUGGGACUGAGACACGGCCCAGACUCCUACGGGAGGCAGCAGUGGGGAAUUUUGGACAAUGGGCGCAAGCCUGAUACAGCCAUGCCGCGUGCGGGAAGAAGGCCU